CAGCAGCCACGGUAAAACGUAGGUGGCAAGCGUUGUCCGGAAUUAUUGGGCGUAAAGGGCUCGCAGGCGGUUUCUUAAGUCUGAUGUGAAAGCCCCCGGCUCAACCGGGGAGGGUCAUUGGAAACUGGGAAACUUGAGUGCAGAAGAGGAGAGUGGAAUUCCACGUGUAGCGGUGAAAUGCGUAGAGAUGUGGAGGAACACCAGUGGCGAAGGCGACUCUCUGGUCUGUAACUGACGCUGGGGAGCGAAAGCGUGGGGAGCGAACAGGAUUAGAUACCCCCGUAGUCCCUGUCUCUUAUAC
rnacentral:rRNA from 1 species